UGUAGGCGGACCUUCAAGUCGGGUGUGAAAACUGGCGGCUCAACUGCCAGCCUGCACUCGAUACUGUUGGUCUUGAGUACAGGAGAGGAAAGGCGGAAUUCCAGGUGUAGCGGUGAAAUGCGUAGAUAUCUGGAAGAACACCAGUAGCGAAGGCGGCUUUCUGGACUGAUACUGACGCUAAAGCGCGAAGGCUUGGGUAGCAAACA
rnacentral:rRNA from 1 species